rnacentral:misc_RNA from 1 species
UGGUCACCGUGCUGGCAGGCG